rnacentral:rRNA from 1 species
UAAGGGCGCACGGUGGAUGCCUUGGCACUAGAAGCCGAUGAAGGACGUUACUAACGACGAUAUGCUUUGGGGAGCUGUAAGUAAGCUUUGAUCCAGAGAUUUCCGAAUGGGGAAACCCAGCAUGAGUUAUGUCAUGUUAUCGAUAUGUGAAUACAUAGCAUAUCAGAAGGCACACCCGGAGAACUGAAACAUCUUAGUACCCGGAGGAAGAGAAAGAAAAUUCGAUUCCCUUAGUAGCGGCGAGCGAAACGGGAAGAGCCCAAACCAACAAGCUUGCUUGUUGGGGUUGUAGGACACUCUAUACGGAGUUACAAAGGACGACAUUAGACGAAUCAUCUGGAAAGAUGAAUCAAAGAAGGUAAUAAUCCUGUAGUCGAAAAUGUUGUCUCUCUUGAGUGGAUCCUGAGUACGACGGAGCACGUGAAAUUCCGUCGGAAUCUGGGAGGACCAUCUCCUAAGGCUAAAUACUCUCUAGUGACCGAUAGUGAACCAGUACCGUGAGGGAAAGGUGAAAAGCACCCCGGAAGGGGAGUGAAAUAGAACCUGAAACCGUGUGCUUACAAGUAGUCAGAGCCCGUUAAUGGGUGAUGGCGUGCCUUUUGUAGAAUGAACCGGCGAGUUACGAUUUGAUGCAAGGUUAAGCAGUAAAUGUGGAGCCGUAGCGAAAGCGAGUCUGAAUAGGGCGUUUAGUAUUUGGUCGUAGACCCGAAACCAGGUGAUCUACCCUUGGUCAGGUUGAAGUUCAGGUAACACUGAAUGGAGGACCGAACCGACUUACGUUGAAAAGUGAGCGGAUGAACUGAGGGUAGCGGAGAAAUUCCAAUCGAACCUGGAGAUAGCUGGUUCUCUCCGAAAUAGCUUUAGGGCUAGCCUCAAGUGAUGAUUAUUGGAGGUAGAGCACUGUUUGGACGAGGGGCCCCUCUCGGGUUACCGAAUUCAGACAAACUCCGAAUGCCAAUUAAUUUAACUUGGGAGUCAGAACAUGGGUGAUAAGGUCCGUGUUCGAAAGGGAAACAGCCCAGACCACCAGCUAAGGUCCCAAAAUAUAUGUUAAGUGGAAAAGGAUGUGGCGUUGCCCAGACAACUAGGAUGUUGGCUUAGAAGCAGCCAUCAUUUAAAGAGUGCGUAAUAGCUCACUAGUCGAGUGACACUGCGCCGAAAAUGUACCGGGGCUAAACAUAUUACCGAAGCUGUGGAUUGUCCUUUGGACAAUGGUAGGAGAGCGUUCUAAGGGCGUUGAAGCAUGAUCGUAAGGACAUGUGGAGCGCUUAGAAGUGAGAAUGCCGGUGUGAGUAGCGAAAGACGGGUGAGAAUCCCGUCCACCGAUUGACUAAGGUUUCCAGAGGAAGGCUCGUCCGCUCUGGGUUAGUCGGGUCCUAAGCUGAGGCCGACAGGCGUAGGCGAUGGAUAACAGGUUGAUAUUCCUGUACCACCUAUAAUCGUUUUAAUCGAUGGGGGGACGCAGUAGGAUAGGCGAAGCGUGCGAUUGGAUUGCACGUCUAAGCAGUAAGGCUGAGUAUUAGGCAAAUCCGGUACUCGUUAAGGCUGAGCUGUGAUGGGGAGAAGACAUUGUGUCUUCGAGUCGUUGAUUUCACACUGCCGAGAAAAGCCUCUAGAUAGAAAAUAGGUGCCCGUACCGCAAACCGACACAGGUAGUCAAGAUGAGAAUUCUAAGGUGAGCGAGUGAACUCUCGUUAAGGAACUCGGCAAAAUGACCCCGUAACUUCGGGAGAAGGGGUGCUCUUUAGGGUUAACGCCCAGAAGAGCCGCAGUGAAUAGGCCCAAGCGACUGUUUAUCAAAAACACAGGUCUCUGCUAAACCGUAAGGUGAUGUAUAGGGGCUGACGCCUGCCCGGUGCUGGAAGGUUAAGAGGAGUGGUUAGCUUCUGCGAAGCUACGAAUCGAAGCCCCAGUAAACGGCGGCCGUAACUAUAACGGUCCUAAGGUAGCGAAAUUCCUUGUCGGGUAAGUUCCGACCCGCACGAAAGGCGUAACGAUUUGGGCACUGUCUCAACGAGAGACUCGGUGAAAUCAUAGUACCUGUGAAGAUGCAGGUUACCCGCGACAGGACGGAAAGACCCCGUGGAGCUUUACUGUAGCCUGAUAUUGAAAUUCGGCACAGCUUGUACAGGAUAGGUAGGAGCCUUUGAAACGUGAGCGCUAGCUUACGUGGAGGCGCUGGUGGGAUACUACCCUAGCUGUGUUGGCUUUCUAACCCGCACCACUUAUCGUGGUGGGAGACAGUGUCAGGCGGGCAGUUUGACUGGGGCGGUCGCCUCCUAAAAGGUAACGGAGGCGCUCAAAGGUUCCCUCAGAAUGGUUGGAAAUCAUUCAUAGAGUGUAAAGGCAUAAGGGAGCUUGACUGCGAGACCUACAAGUCGAGCAGGGUCGAAAGACGGACUUAGUGAUCCGGUGGUUCCGCAUGGAAGGGCCAUCGCUCAACGGAUAAAAGCUACCCCGGGGAUAACAGGCUUAUCUCCCCCAAGAGUUCACAUCGACGGGGAGGUUUGGCACCUCGAUGUCGGCUCAUCGCAUCCUGGGGCUGUAGUCGGUCCCAAGGGUUGGGCUGUUCGCCCAUUAAAGCGGUACGCGAGCUGGGUUCAGAACGUCGUGAGACAGUUCGGUCCCUAUCCGUCGUGGGCGUAGGAAAUUUGAGAGGAGCUGUCCUUAGUACGAGAGGACCGGGAUGGACAUACCUCUGGUGUACCAGUUGUCGUGCCAACGGCAUAGCUGGGUAGCUAUGUGUGGACGGGAUAAGUGCUGAAAGCAUCUAAGCAUGAAGCCCCCCUCAAGAUGAGAUUUCCCAACUUCGGUUAUAAGAUCCCUCAAAGAUGAUGAGGUUAAUAGGUUCGAGGUGGAAGCAUGGUGACAUGUGGAGCUGACGAAUACUAAUCGAUCGAAGACUUAAUCAA